rnacentral:rRNA from 1 species
GACGAACGCUGGCGGCGUGCCUAAUACAUGCAAGUAGAACGCUGAAGGAGGAGCUUGCUUCUCCGGAUGAGUUGCGAACGGGUGAGUAACGCGUAGGUAACCUGCCUGGUAGCGGGGGAUAACUAUUGGAAACGAUAGCUAAUACCGCAUAACAGUAGAUAUUGCAUGAUAUCUGCUUGAAAGGUGCAAUUGCAUCACUACCAGAUGGACCUGCGUUGUAUUAGCUAGUUGGUGAGGUAACGGCUCACCAAGGCGACGAUACAUAGCCGACCUGAGAGGGUGAUCGGCCAAACUGGGAACUAGACACGGCCCAGGACCCUUAGGGAGGCAGCAGGAGGGAAACUUCGGCAAAUGACGGAAGUCUGACCGAACAACGCCGGGUGAGUGGAGAAGGUUUUCGGGUCGUAAAGCUCUGUUGUAAGAGAAGGAAGAGUGUGAGAGUAGAAAGUUCACACUGUGACGGUAUCUGAACAGAAAGGGACGGCUAACUACGUG